rnacentral:lncRNA from 1 species
UAAAAGAAAUGUGCAGGGUACCCCUAUCAGAAUACAUAUGUGAACAGACAUUCUGUGAAUACAAAUUUUAAAUAUAGUUUCCUAAACAAUAUCCUGGGUAAGUCAUUCACUUGUUCUAUCCUUUCAUCUCUGAAGGCUUAUAUCAAUUCAAGAAAAUUAUUCAAACGCAGAGGUUGUAGACUUUACCAUAGUGAAUCUGAGUGAUAAAAGUCAAGACAUGCCAAGCUCAGGCUGACAAGUCCAUCCCUCUAUGCUAGGUUGGAUUGAGGUACCUUAGCACAUUAUUGUGCUUAUGUUUGCCUGUGUUUACUCAUGUUUCCUCAGUCUGACUCCAGUAAUUUUCUCACACCCCCAGAUGACAUUGCAGCAGGUCUGUGCCAAUGUGAACUGAAUAAAGAAUCUGGGUCAACACCUGCAUAGUAAAUCACAGAGCAAACUGCAGAACAGAAAGGAUCCAGUCCUAGAUACUGUACUGCAGGGAGGCAAACAGAACACUGCUUCGUAUAUUCUCCAGGCACUGAGAAGUAACAUCACUGAAGGCCCAGAGAGUUCAUCCUGUGAUGAUUCAAGGAAGAUACAACAUGUUCUAGCCUACCAGCAGAGCAGCUGUGAGGACAGUAUCAUCAUGUGGUAAACUUGCUCUAGAAUUAUUUUGGGGAAGUUCUACAGCCUGUGUUAUGCAGGAGAUCAGACUAGAUGGUCACAAUGGUUUGUUCAGGCGUUUGAAACUAUGAACAUUAUAGCAUUCUGUUAGCACAGGAGAAUCAAAAAAUGAAACUGUCAAGAAAUGAAAAAGUCUUGUUUCACAGCCAAAGUACAGUGAAUGUAAAAAGUAAACAGCAUGAACAGUUAGUCACAAUUAUUUUUAAGUAUUUA